ensembl:lncRNA CAMTA1-DT CAMTA1 divergent transcript
CGCGGGGGGCCUCGGGGCUGAGGUCCGCAGGGGUGCCGCGCCCUGGAGUCCGACUGCCUAGGAGUCCGGGCGUCGCUGCCGGCCGUGGGGGAGGGGCGAGCCUCCCGCCAGGCCCCGCCCCCUCGGCGCCGCGUCCCCACGGCCCCGGCGCCGCCCGCCUGCGCCCGCCUCCUGUGCCCGCCCCCGGUAAUACCGGAAACAAAAGGAGAGGCUGCAAUCGCAAAUUGUUUAAAAAGAAGAAAAAGGAAAGAAAAGUUGAAUCAAAAUAAGUGAAAAAUCCUCGUUCAAGUGUUCUGGCAUUAAGAUUGACUGUCACACUGAAUUCUGUGCCAAUCCUAACAACAUGUGUUCUUUUUCUGGUCUUCACAAGUAAGAAUGUCUUAGGUUUUCCAGAAAUAAAGAUGUCCCAAAAGAA